UCGUGCUAGACGGGGAGCUAGCGGUGCCCUGUAACCCGAAAGCCGCUUAUGCGGGGUUGAAUUCCCUCCCGAGAGUAAAAGCGCAGUCCGGCGAGGCCGCCUAGCGGGCGGAUUGGCUCCCACGCAACAGACACUGGUGAACCCCGUCAGGUCCGGGAGGAAGCAGCGGUAAGCCAGGGAGGCUGUGUCGUGGCGUCAGCUAAUCCCACACCCCUUGGACCUGCCCCACGGACUGAGGCAGACCCGAAGGAGGGUGCACGG
rnacentral:SRP_RNA from 1 species